GCCAGGGAUGGUGGUGCACAUUUGUAAUCCCAGUUACUGGGGAGGCUGAGGCAGGAGGAUGGCAAGUUCAAGGAUAGCCUCAGCAACUUAGCAAGAACCUGUCUCAA
rnacentral:sRNA from 1 species